rnacentral:tRNA from 1 species
GCUGGAGUGCCCGAGUGGCUGAAGGGACCGGUUUUGUAAACCGGUAGCGAAAGCUCGUCGCAGGUUCGAAUCCUGUCUCCAGCUCCA